UUUGUCACGCCCAAAAAGUUAUAUUGGUGGAGAAGGAAAUCUUGAUAUAUUACAAUGGACAAGCUCCCCUUGAUUUUUCUUUAAUUAAAGUCGCCCCGCAUCGGACAUGAGUUGCUUUCCCGCUGAGCGGGGAGUUCAACAACGGCAGAAAUUUAAUAAAAAUGUCAGAAGUGGGACGAAGGGAAAAGACAUGGCCACCCGCGAUAAUUAUGAAAUUGAAGUAAUUUUUCCAGCUGUCACUGGGGGAAGUUUUCCAGCUAAGGGACUCUAGCGGAGAACUGACCAACCGACAGCUUUAAGGGUGAUGGAGAAGAGAAAAGGUGGAUCCGAGCGUGUGGAAGGCAAAUGGAAGGAGAAGGAAGGAUGUGGGCUUACACGUGCUGCCAAUGUCAUUCCGGCAACAUUUUGACAAUUUGUGGUAAACAAAUAGGAAAGUCAGGAGGAAGGAUGGAAGGGUGGGAUGUCCUUUUGCUGAAUUAUUCAUAAAUACGCAACGCAUUUGCCGUCUUGUUCUGAGCUCCGUGGAAAAUGUUCCCCAACAGUCUAUGACAGGCGAAAGAAAAUGCGAGCACAGACUUGUUUCGAAGGUGUGGCUGACACCGAAUAUCUGUGGGAAUCCGUUUGGAAGACAUCUCCACGAAUAUUCGCCGAGACUUCUGGCUAUGCAAAUCAGUUGAAUGUGAAAUGAGUCGGCCUUUUCUGCCAAUAUCCACCGAUAUAAAAUAUGAUACAAUCGAUGUAAGUGAUAUGGAUUGGAUCUCUCACUCUGAUUGGAUAGGAUUGAUAAAAUUUCUGUGCAGCAAUUUCACUGUUUUAAUCAUUUCUGGAGUGCAUAUUUCUUAAUUAAAUUUUAGUCAAUUUGUGGCACUCGACAGCGUCCGACUCCAGA